AUUGAACGCUGGCGGCAUGCCUUACACAUGCAAGUCGAACGCGCAAGGGGGGCAACCCCCGAGUAGAGUGGCGGACGGGUGAGCAAUACAUCGGAACGUACCCAGUAGUGGGGAACAACCUCGAGCAAUCGCGGCUAAUACCGCAUACGACCUACGGGUGAAAGCGGGGGACCGCACGGCCUGGCGCUAUUCGAGCAGCAGAUGUCCGCUUAGCGAGUUGGUAGGGUAAACGCCUACCAAGGCGACGAUCGGUAGCUGGUCUGAGAGGACGACCAGCCACACUGGGACUGAGACACGGCCCAGACUCCUACGGGAGGCAGCAGUGGGGAAUUUUGGACAAUGGGGGCAACCCUGAUCCAGCCAUGCCGCGUGCGGGAAGAAGGCCGUCGGGUUGUAAACCGCUUUCGGCCGGAACGAAAUCGCCGGGGAGAACAUCCCCGGUGGAUGACGGUACCGGAAGAAGAAGCACCUGCUAACUACGUGCCAGCCGCCGCUGUAAUAC
rnacentral:rRNA from 1 species